rnacentral:sRNA from 1 species
AUUUCCUUUGACCUCGCUGAGUACACUGCGGACGUUGACGGAGUUGGCACUCUACGACUUCUAGAUGCAGUUAAGACUUGUGGCCUUAUCAACUCUGUGAAGUUCUACCAAGCCUCAACAAGUGAACUUUAUGGGAAAGUGCAGGAAAUACCCCAGAAGGAGACCACCCCUUUCUAUCCCCGGUCACCCUAUGGGGCAGCAAAACUCUAUGCCUAUUGGAUUGUGGUGAACUUCCGUGAGGCGUAUAAUCUCUUUGCAGUGAAUGGCAUUCUCUUCAAUCAUGAGAGUCCCAGAAGAGGAGCUAAUUUCGUUACUCGAAAAAUUAGCCGGUCAGUAGCUAAGAUUUACCUUGGACAACUGGAAUGUUUCAGUUUGGGAAAUCUGGAUGCCAAACGAGAUUGGGGCCAUGCCAAGGACUAUGU